rnacentral:sRNA from 1 species
AUAGAUUUAUAGUAAACUAGAUUUUAACCCGCGUAUAUCGCGGGACGAUUUAUUUUUUAAAAGUAAUAUAUAUUAAAACUUGCAAAUUUUAUUUUUAUAAAAUAUUUAUAUUUUACAGUUUAUAAUUGUUAUUAAGUAACGGUAUACCACGAAUCCAUGAGAUAAUUGUUAAAAAACUGAAGUUUUAACCCCUAUUAAAACAGCAUAUUAAUAAUAUUUUAAAAUUUUAUAAAUAUUGAUUCAAAUACAUCCACCAUAUAACCCAAUUCCAAAAUAGAACUCGUUCUGUAAUUUUUUUACCGUCCCGUGAUUUUUAAAAAAAAUAGU